UCUGCCACCUGGAAUGUGCCCAAUCUCAUCUGAUCUUGGAAGCUAAGCAGUGUCAGGCCUGGUAAGUACUUAGAUGGGAGGAAUACAGUGCUAUUAAAGACAGACGAUAGGAAGUAGGGAGGCAGAU
rnacentral:rRNA from 1 species